UACGGGGGGUGCAAACGUUGCUCGGAAUUAUUGGGCGUAAAGCGCACGUAGGCGGUCUGGUAAGUCGGGUGUGAAAGCCCGGGGCUUAACCCCGGAAGUGCACUCGAAACUGCCAGGUUUGAGUAUGGAAGAGGGUCUCGGAAUUCCCGGUGUAGCGGUGAAAUGCGCAGAUAUCAGGAGGAACACCGGUGGCGAAGGCGGAUCUCUGGGCCUUACCUGACGCUGAGGCGCGAAAGCUAGGGGAGCAAACAGG
rnacentral:rRNA from 1 species